CCUACGGGUGGCAGCAGUAGGGAAUAUUGCUCAAUGGGGGAAACCCUGAAGCAGCAACGCCGCGUGGAGGAUGAAGGUUUUCGGAUUGUAAACUCCUUUUGUUAGAGAAGAUAAUGACGGUAUCUAACGAAUAAGCACCGGCUAACUCCGUGCCAGCAGCCGCGGUAAUACGGAGGGUGCAAGCGUUACUCGGAAUCACUGGGCGUAAAGAGCGCGUAGGCGGGAUAGCAAGUCAGAUGUUCAAUCCUAUGGCUUAACCAUAGAACUGCAUUUGAAACUGUUAUUCUAGAGUAUGGGAGAGGUAGGUGGAAUUCGUGGUGUAGGGGUAAAAUGCGUAGAUAUCAAGAGGAAUACUCAUUGCGAAGGCGACCUGCUAGAACAUAACUGACGCUGAUGCGCGAAAGCGUGGGGAGCAAACAGGAUUAGAUACCCCAGUAGUC
rnacentral:rRNA from 1 species